rnacentral:rRNA from 1 species
UGGGGAAUAUUGGACAAUGGGGGCAACCCUGAUCCAGCCAUGCCGCGUGUGUGAAGAAGGCCUUUUGGUUGUAAAGCACUUUAAGCAGGGAGGAGAGGCUAAUGGUUAAUACCCAUUAGAUUAGACGUUACCUGCAGAAUAAGCACCGGCUAACUCUGUGCCAGCAGCCGCGGUAAUACAGAGGGUGCGAGCGUUAAUCGGAAUUACUGGGCGUAAAGCGAGUGUAGGUGGCUCAUUAAGUCACAUGUGAAAUCCCCGGGCUUAACCUGGGAACUGCAUGUGAUACUGGUGGUGCUAGAAUAUGUGAGAGGGAAGUAGAAUUCCCAGGUGUAGCGGUGAAAUGCGUAGAGAUCUGGAGGAAUACCGAUGGCGAAGGCAGCUUCCUGGCAUAAUAUUGACACUGAGAUUCGAAAGCGUGGGUAGCAAAACAGGAUUAGAUACCCUGGUAGUCCACGCCGUAAAACGAUGUCUACUAGCCGUUGGGGUCCUUGAGACUUUAGUGGCGCAGUUAACGCGAUAAGUAGACCGCCUGGGGAG